rnacentral:tmRNA from 1 species
GGGGGCGACUUGGCUUCGACGUGGGUUACGAACCUCUAGGUGCAUGUCGAGAUGUUAGCGAAUCUCGUAAAAUCAAAGCUAAAAACUAUAGUUGCAAACGAAGACAACUACGCUUUAGCCGCUUAAUCGGCUAACUGUCGACUCUGAGCGUCCUUGGUAGGAACUCGACAGUCAUUACAGGGACUUGCAGGUAACUGUGCUCGGCAGCCAACUGUGAAAAUAUCCUCGAGACCGUCUGACUAAGCCUGCCCAUCGGCUCGAGUUAGAUUAAAUUAACGAUGGAACUAAGCAUGUAGAGCCUUGAGCAGAGGAUUUGCGGACGCGGGUUCAAUUCCCGCCGCCUCCACCA